rnacentral:misc_RNA from 1 species
GAUGAAGAACGUAGCGAAAUGCGAUAAGUAAUGUGAAUUGCAGAAUUCAGUGAAUCAUCGAAUCUUUGAACGCACAUUGCGCCUGCUAGUAUUCAGGCGGGCAUGCCUGUCCGAGCGUCAUUUCAACCCUCAAGCCCCCGGGCUUGGUGUUGGGGAUCGGCGAGCCUCCGCGCCCGCCGUCCCCUAAAUCUAGUGGCGGUCUCGCUGUAGCUUCCUCUGCGUAGUAGCACACCUCGCACUGGGAAACAGCGCGGCCACGCCGUUAAACCCCCAACUUCUGAACGUUUGACCUCGGAUCAGGUAGGAAUACCCGCUGAACUUAAGCAUAUCAAUAAGCGGAGGA